rnacentral:ncRNA from 1 species
UACCUGGUUGAUCCUGCCAGUAGUCAUAUGCUUGUCUCAAAGAUUAAGCCAUGCAAGUCUAAGUACGAGCUCUCGUACAGUGAAACUGCGAAUGGCUCAUUAAAUCAGUUAUGGUUCAUUUGAUCGUACAGGUUACUUGGAUAACUGUGGUAAUUCUAGAGCUAAUA